rnacentral:rRNA from 1 species
CAGUCGCCGCGGGAAUACAGAGGGUGCGAGCGUUAAUCGGAUUUACUGGGCGUAAAGCGUGCGUAGGCGGCUAAUUGAGUCGGAUGUGAAAUCCCCGAGCUUAACUUGGGAAUUGCAUUCGAUACUGGUUAGCUAGAGUGUGGGAGAGGAUGGUAGAAUUCCAGGUGUAGCGGUGAAAUGCGUAGAGAUCUGGAGGAAUACCGAUGGCGAAGGCAGCCAUCUGGCCUAACACUGACGCUGAGGUACGAAAGCAUGGGGAGCAAACAGGAUUAGAUACCCGGGUAGUCCCUGUCUCUUAUAC